GCAAGGCUCCAGGGAGAGAGCUGUCGAAAAAUGGCGGGGAAUUCACUCCCUGUCUCCGUUUCUAAGCAACCCUAUUCCUACCUGGGGGCAGGGGUCCUUGUUGGGAGGGAGGGAGGAGCUGCCAGUCAUCACCUGUCACAAGUCACAGGACCAUGUGGGCGGCAGGAGGCGGGCCUCCCGUGCCCAGGCCCUGUCUCACUGGCUGGGAGGUGCCCAAGGCCAGGAUAAAAGGGCGCUGGGGCAGGACCCCUCCAUCCACCGCCCUCCUGAGGAGCUAGCUGACAGACCCGCUGCUGCUCGUGUGCCCGCUCCAGAACCCUGACCACCAAGAUGUCCUGCCAGCAGAGCCAGCAGCAGUGCCAGGCCCCUCCCAAGUGUCCUGCCCCUAAAUGCCCCCUAAAGUGCCCUCCAGCCUCUUCCUGCUGUGGUGUCAGCUCUGGAAUCUGUUCUGGCCUCAGCUCAGGGGGCUGCUGUGGCCCCAGCCUAGGGAGCUGCUGUGGCCCCAGCUCUGGGGGUGGUGGCUGCUUCCUGGGUCACCACAGGCUCCACAGAGCCCACUGCCACCGCAGGCACCACAAACCUGCUGACUGCUGCAGCAAGCCCUCGGGGGCCUCCAGCUGCUGCGAAGGGGAUGUGGGUCAGUCCUCUGGAGGCUGCUGCUGAAGCGGACCUGACCUCCUCUUCCUCUGAGCCCCCUGAAUGCAGACAGGUCUGGGCAAAGGCUUGAGCUGCAGCUGGAAGAUCUCUCUACCUUGGUGUCCAAAAGCCCAAAUGAUCUCCCUAAAGGCCAGUUAUUGACGUUCGCCUUAUCUGUGCCUUCUCUGGGAAUUUCAAAGCAGACCUUAUGUCCUUAGGCAACUUCUGAUACUGCCGACUGGUGCCUCAAUUGAAACAAUAAAUAUGGAAUCUGCUCACUUA